UGCCCCAGUUCAUCAAACUCAUUUAUGGUGCACAUUGCGUUGCAUAGAACCAGCUUUUACCACAUAAACUGAGAUUCCUUCCACACUCCCUUUUAACAAAGGAUUCGCAUUCUACUGUUUUUUUAAAAAAAAAAACAGUAGAAUGCGAAUCCUUAGUUAAUAGGGUAAAUUUGAACAUAGUAUAAGAUCUUUUGGUCUCAACUCUCAAUGCCCUUGGAAAGACAACCAAUAGAUACAAAGUUCAGUCUCUUUUGCCAACCAGAAUUGCCCUGCAGGUGAACUGCUAAAUUCGUAGCUGGUAACUACAAAGAGUAUGAAGUCAAAAAACAGAAAAAGUUGAUGCCUUGAGAGAAAAUAAAUAACAUCACGCAAGCUAUCAUAAUCACCACCUCCGUACUAAUGAUGUGAGCAACUCAAAUAGUUCAAAGGGACUACCACUCCGGUAUACAUCAUCCUUCUUACUCUCAUUAUUAGGAAGAAUGGUCGAUAAUAGUGCUCUCCAUCCAAUAAGUAAAACAGUAGUGCUUCCCAUUGUUACUAAGAUAAAAGUAUACGGCGGAAUGUGUCCUGAUGUUACUGCCCUUAUGACUAAUCCCAGUGGAAUCCCCAGAGCCCAUGAUUUAAGGGCAGCAAUAACUGCUUUAGAAACACCAUUCAUUCCACGGCCAUCUUCUCCAUAACCCCCAAGGAAGUAAGCGCCCAAAAACCAACCAGCAAUAAAAGGGUCAGCAGUGCGCAGCGUCUCAAAGUCAAAAACAGAGAAGCCAUGGCUAAAUCUCCCAAUUGCAGAGAACAAAAGCAAAGCCAAUACAUCUCCACCAGAAAAUAAAGCCACUCGACCCCAUUUGUCCAGACGUGAAGAAGAGGUGGGCUUCUCGAACUGGAUGACGCCUUCCAAAGGAACAUUAUCUGGACCCACGAAAACAGGGUCGUCCCUGCUAAAAGGGGGAGGAGGAGGAGCUGAAUUGUUGUUAGAAAGAGGUUGCUUGGUUGCAGAGGUAGAAUCUACACCUCCAUCAACCUUAGCGAGAUUGGGAUAAAAGGGUGGUCUCUUGGAUAUGAAUUUUGGUCCAGUGAUGUUAGAGAAAAGAGGUGGAUUUUUGUGGGUGAAUUGAAGAGGGGAUAUGCGAGUACAUCUUCUGGCUGACAGAGCUCCUCCCGGACCUUGGCUUACCAACAGCAUUUUUCCUCAAUUCCCAAUUGUUUUCUCGAUUCCUUAUUAAAUCUUUUCUUUAUUUUUUUUCAAGUUUCUUGGUUGUGCGGUCUUAUUAUGACUCUCUCUUUG
rnacentral:misc_RNA from 1 species